UACGGAAGGCAGCAGGGGGAAUAUUGCACAAUGGGCGCAAGCCUGAUGCAGCCAUGCCGCGUGUAUGAAGAAGGCCUUCGGGUUGUAAAGUACUUUCAGUCGUGAGGAAGGUGUUAAGGUUAAUAACCUUAGCAAUUGACGUUAGCGACAGAAGAAGCACCGGCUAACUCCGUGCCAGCAGCCGCGGUAAUACGGAGGGUGCGAGCGUUAAUCGGAAUUACUGGGCGUAAAGGGCACGCAGGCGGUUAAUUAAGUUGGAUGUGAAAUCCCCGGGCUUAACCUGGGAAUGGCAUUCAAGACUGGUUAGCUAGAGUCUUGUAGAGGGGGUAGAAUUCCAUGUGUAGCGGUGAAAUGCGUAGAGAUGUGGAGGAAUCCGGUGGCGAAGGCGGCCCCUGGACAAAGGACUGACGCUCAUGUGCGAAAGCGUGGGGAGCAAACGAGGGAUUAGAUA
rnacentral:rRNA from 1 species